rfam:Equus caballus chromosome 1, whole genome shotgun sequence.
UUCCAUGGCCAUACCACCCUGAAUGCACCCGAUCUCGUCUGAUCUUGGAAGCUAAGUAGGGUCGGGCCUGGGUAGUACUUGAAUGGGAGAAGACAAGAAACCACACGGUAAUUUGAACA